CUUGGCCAAAUAGGCUAUUAGUAAGAGAUAGACAUAGAGAAUUUAGAGGGACAUUAGGGGGAGAGGAACGAAACAGAUAGAGAAAACAAAACAGAGGAAAGGGGGAGACGGACAGAGAGUCCAAAAAACAGAGAAAAAAACCAGUCACCUUCCUCCAUUGCUCUCGUUAUUCUCCCACCAUUAAAGCACCACCACUAUUCAACCAUGUUUGAACCAUAACUUAACAAAAGCUCCUCCCGUGAAAUUUUCUUUACUUCAACACCACCCUUUCUGUCUUUAAAGCUCCACCAUCAUCGUCCUUUAUCAUCUUCUUUGCCAAAAGCUCUCAAUAAAUUACAAAUCGAAAAUGGAUUAAACAUUAAGGAUAAGUUUCGGGCUAGAUCUAAACUCCGAUCGAAGUUGCCGUCAGGGGGUGGGUAUUGUUCGAGUGUUAUGGUCUGAUGUUCCAAUCCAGAUUUGAAACACAACCGAUGUGCUAUUGUUGGAUUGAACAAAUUUGCUGCUUGCAAGGAGAUCUUUCAUCAAUUCAAUUUUAAUUACUGUUUGGAUUCCACUUGAGGUCAACUCCUUACUUUGUUCUUUACUUAAUCUAUAUUUUUCUCAUAUGUGUGAUUUAUGAUUGCUUGAGCUUCAUGCUUUUAUUGUUACUUUGUGACUGAUUUUUCAUGUUUUAUUUCAAGUCUGUUGAGUUGAAUUUUUAAGUUUAAACAUUGUUAAAUUCUUGUCUUGUAGAUAUGUGUUGAUGCGGAAAAAAGAAAAAAAUAAUUUUAAUGAACUGUGGGAUUUGAUAGAAGGAUUCGGGCUUAAACGUAAAUGAAAAUUUGGAUUUGAAAUGUUUUUAUUACUUUUAUUUAUUUCUUAUCGCUAGUAGCAUGCUUAGACCGACCACACAUGGGUAGGCAAUAUAAGGACGUUUUAUUAUUUUUAGUUUUUGAGGUGAGAGAUUGUCCCCUUAGUUACUAUGAUUUUGUCAGGGGAAUGCCCUGAAGUAUUUGUAAAUAUUUAUCAGGGAUAUGCCCCAUAUUUGGAGGCCGUGACGAACCUCGUGGAAGAAGUAUAGUGUAUGUUAGUAUUUAGGACUUUAAUUUUCUUUUCUUUUUCUAUUUUUUAUUUUCUUUUAUUAGGUGGGGAUGACCUUGAACCUCUUUUGCAUUUAUUUUUCUUUUGUGUCUUUUUACCUCAACUCGAGUAUUCUUUUAAGCCGAUUAGAUCAUGUAUACAACUGUGACCUUCACGUGACUUGGAAAAUUCCUAACACCUUCUCCCCGAGUGAAAUGAACCCCAUUUCUCGGAAUUUCUGGUGCGGACUAUUUUUAGAGUCAAAACAUGUUUUAAAAGGAAAAAUUAUUUUUUUGUUAAAACGAUGAAUUGACACACCGAAACCAAAUGUCAAGUGGCGACUCUGAAAAUACUUUGAAACACAAACUUUGUCACUUUCAGUUUGAAAACCCUUUUGAGCUUUAAAAAUCACAUUAUUCUUUUUAAAGAGGGUUAAGAUGAAAAUGGGGUGUGACACCGAGUGCAUACUCAUCCUCAUGACUGUCAAACCAACUUCCUCAAGUGCUCCGAGAGGGUAGUAUAUUUGUUUCGCUAAAUAGAAGGAAAACUCUUCAUAGAAACCUCCUAAGGAUCACAUAACCUCACACCUUCUCAAGGGAGAUAACCCACCUACUACCCUCGAAUCGACAUCUUCCCAUGACCUACCAUGGUUACAACAACUAGGAAACCAAUUAAUCCUUCUGAGUCUACACUCGUCAACAAGUUAUAAGAAUCAAUUCAUUCCUCAAAUGAACAACUGAAAGUUCUAAUGCCACACCCACUUCUCAAAAUUAUACAACAUAUUGAGACGAUGAUAAAGUAUCCAUAGUUUUUUCGCAUCCCAUCCGCAAAAUCACAAGUCAUCAGUGCAAAACUGAUACCAAGUACUCAAUAUCGCACACGAAUCGAACAGAAAGAAUCUGGAGAUUUAGGCUUCAAGCUGAAACAAGGUCGCACGAUAAGGAAAGAAAGAAGUGAAAUCUUCCUAGAUGCCUUGUAGCCGCUAGAAGAUAAGUGUGGACGUCAUCAUACCAAUCCGUAAGAGUCUACUAGCCACUUGCUCAUGACUCGUAGAACCUAUGAACCUAGUGCUCUGAUACCAACUUGUCGCGAUCCAAAAUCCACAAAGUCGUGAUGGAACCUAACCCCAACAUGCUAGGUAAGAAAAAGAUAUAAUAUUGUAACUCAAAUGAAAGAUAAUUAUUAACAAGGAUUGAUAGAUUAAUUCCAUACAGCAUCCCAAAGAUUGGUAGUAUAAGUUAUAUGCCACUAAGAUUUAGAUUUAAAAAGUUGGUGCAAAAAAUAAGCACAACAUCUAUUUGAAUGUACAUAAAAAGGAUUGCAAAUCCUAAACUACCAAGAACAAGUGAUAGCUUAUCUCUGGAAUGCAGGUACAUCUUCAAAGCCAACCUUCGUCAUACACAACAUAUUAGCUCUCAAAUAUGCACGCAAGGUGCAGAAGUGUAGUAUGAGUACAACCGAUCCAUGUACUUAGUAAGUAUCCUGACUAACCUCGAUGAGGUAGAGACGAGGUUCAGAACAAGGAGACUCACUAUACAUAACAUGUACAUCUCAAUAACAUAUAAAUAUGCCCAACAAAAGUAUCAAACUCUAAGCAUAAAAUCCGGGUACAACUAAUCAGGGCACAUAGAGAAGAUAUGCGUAAGUCUUAUAAAAGUUAAAUAUAUAGGGAAGAUAUACAUCUAACAUCAUUAAAUAAUCUAAGCUUGCAUAUAAAGAAGAUAUGCAUGAAAUAUCAAAUAUUCCAUCAACAGUUGCAUAUAGAGAAGAUAUGCGUGGAAUAUCAGGUAAUCCAUCAACAGUUGCAUAUAGAGAAGAUAUUCUUGGAAUAUCAGGUAAUCCAUCAACAGUUGCAUAUAGAGAAGAUAUGCAUGGAAUAUCAGGUAAUCCAUCAAUAGUUGCAUAUAGAGAUGAUAUGCAUAUUUAAACAAGUCCAGUUACACGGAUCCACAUAUAGAGAAGAUAUGUACCGUGAUUUAUCUCAUCAAGCAAAGCAGCAUAUAGAGAGGAUAUGCAAUGAAAAUCAUGUAUACAUCAAAGGAGUUUGCAAAAAGAGAAGAGACAGUCCAACUAAUGAUCAAUUUUACCAAGAUCCAUAUCAACCAGAAACCCGUCUAUUUCUCACAACAUGUGUGUACGCCAUCAAGAGGGAAAUAUGAGAGUGUAACCCUAGGGAAUAAAUCCUUAUCCAUACACUGUAUGGACUACUCACGUGCCAUCACUGCAUGGACAACUCACGUGCCAUAGAUUAAAACAACCGCACGGACAACCUACGUGCCAUAAUAACUUAACCUGCAUGGACCACUCACGUACUGCCAAUCUAGUCCAUCACAAAAAAAGCAUAUACAAGAACACAUGUAUACGACAUAUCCAAUAACAUACUCAUGGACUGAGGAAAAUAGUAUAUUAUGGUGUAUUCAUGUGCGAAGUGUGCAACUACGGCUCAAAUUAGGCGGAUACGCCAUACAAUAUCAAAAAUCAUGAACAAACAGGGAAUUAAUACUUUUACAUGAUCUCUAGCAUGAUUCACAGAGUUCACGUAGUCAUACAAACACAUAAAGCAUGAUAGCAAGAAUCACAAUAUCCAAAUCAAGGCAUAGUAGCGCCUAAAGACUACUCUGGUAAUGAAUCGUACAUAGCACCCGUAUAUACACUCAUCACCUUGCAUAUACGUAGCAUCUCACACAUUUAAAUUAGACAAACAAGGUCAGUUCCAAAGGUUUAUUCCCUCAUCAAUAUUAGACAAGAUACUUACAUCAAAAAAGCCAAAUUAACACUCUAAAAACACCUUCCCGCGUGGAUCGACCUUCGAACGGCUCAAAUCUAGCCAAAAACAACUCAAUAACAUCAAAUAGUACCAUAGGAAUCAAACCCCAAUGAUAAAGGUCGAAUCUUUAAUCAAAUACUCAAAGUCGACCAAAACGUUAACCCGGGCCCACACCUUGAAACCCGACAAACCUCACAAAUCCCGAAUACCCAUUCAAAUAUGAGUCCAAAUAUCUAAUUGGUUUCCAAAUCCAACCUCAAUUUGAUGUUCAAAACCCCAAAAUUUAUUUUCUUAAGUUCAAGUAAAAAAAAAACCCAAUUUCUUCUUUUCAAAUCCUUGAUUUAGGUGUAAUAAUCCAUGGAAAACAAAAUAUAUAAUCAAAAAAAUGAUAAAAUUACUUACCCUCAUGAUUUGGGUGUUUAUCCUCCAAAAUUUCCUUACUUGUGCUCAAAGAACUCCAAAAGUGAAGAAAAUAAACUCAAAAUCCUAAAAUUGAAUAUUUUAAAGCCCCAUCACUCGUCCUUCUUCGCGAUCGCAUUCACCAAACAUGUGAUCACGGUUUCCAAAUUCCUUAUAGAUUGCAAGAUAUAAGCUCCUGAAGUCAGCCUAGUGGCAGCAAAAAUUUCUUCUGCGCGAUUGUGGGAAUGCACUCUGUGAUCGCGUUUCACAAGUCCAAAAUGGCAAUUUACUCUUUGCGAACGCGGCCCUGAGCUCCACGAUCGCGAUGUACACUCCUGUAGCAAAAAACCAACAACUGGAAAGGGUCUAAAAAAGGUCCAAAACCACCCUGAAUUACACCCGAGGCUCCCGGGGUCCCAUCCAUUAUACUAACAAGUCCAAAUACCUUAUUCAGACUUAUCCAAAGACUCAUCAUGCAACCUUCAAAACCGAGAAUUAAACACCAAAACUCAUUAAGCAACCUUCAAACUCAAGAACUUCAAAUAUUCACAACCAAACGUCUGAUUCAUACCAAAUCAACUCAGAAUAAAACCAAACUUUGCACACAACUUCCAAAUGAAAAAAUGGACCUAUUCCAAGUCCCAGAAUAAUAAUCCUAACCCGAUAGAUACAAAGUCAACACAUGGUCAAACUUAUGAAAUUUCUAAACUUUCAAAUUGCCAACUUUCGACAAAAAGAGCAAAAUUAUCCUAGGAACCUCCAAAUACAAAUUCGGAUAUAUACCUAAUUUCAAAAUCACCAUACGAACCAAUUUUAACCAUCAAAACAUGAAUCCAUGGUCGUUUACUCACAAGUCAAACCUUGGUCAACUCUUAAAAUUUAAAGCUUCUAAAUUGAGAAUUACUCUUCUGAAUCAAUCCCAUACUUCCCCAAAAGCAGAACAACAAUGCACGUAAGUCGUAUUAUAUCAUAUGAAGUUAUUCACGACCUUAAAUCGCUAAACAGAAUAUUAAUGCUCAAAACUACCGGUCGAAUCGUUACACUCAAUAUGCCAAAAUCUUACAGUACCAUAAUUAAAAUACAUAAAUAUACCGUCAUACCACAUCUCAGUUCAAACCAGUGUCACACACGCAAGGACAAUAUCAAUAUGUGAUAUAACAUAUAAAUAGUCCACAGAGACAGAAAUAUGACAAAUGAAUAUAAUAUCAUGACUGAAACAUAUGACUACGUCUGUAACGACCCGACAUGUCAUUUUACUUUCUACAUCCUCAUUCCCCUAUUUAAGACUUUUUGUAUGUGCUAUUACAUUUUUAUGACUGCCGGGGGGUAAUUGGUUUGGUUUUGGAAGGAUUCGGGUUGAAUUUGGAACACUUAAUUCCUUAAAAGUGGCCUAAGGUGGCCAAGUUUGACUUGAGUCAAUAUUUUGAGUAAACGACCUCAAAACCGGGAUUUCGGUGGUUUCAAUAGAUUUGUAUGACGAUUUUGGACUUGGGCGUGUGUUCGGAUCGAGUUUUGGAUGAUCCGGGAGCGUUUCAGCGCUUAAUAUUGAAAGUUGGCACCUUGAAGGUCUUAGAAUUUCCUAAAUUUAGUUUGAAAUAGACUUUGGUGUUGUCGAGAUCAUGGAAUUCUGAAUCUGGGAAUAGGUUCGUACGGUGAUUUAUGACUUGUACGCAAAAUUUGGCAUCAUUCCGAGUUGUCUAAGUAUGUUUCGUCGCGUGCGGAGCUAGUUGAAGAAGUUUGAAGUUCAUAAGUUGAUUAAUUUGGUUGUAGGGUGUAAUUCUUAGUUUCGAUUUUGGUUUAUGUGUUCCGAGGCUUCGAGCAGGUCUGUAUUAUGUUUAUGAACUUGUUAGUGUAUUUGGACGGGGUCCCGGAUGGCUCGGGUGUAUUUCGGACCACACAGAGCUAAGUCCAUAAUAGUAGAAUUUAUGUUAUUAGUUUCCUUCUUUGUGAACGCGGAGGUAGUCUCGCGUUCGGCAUGAAGGAUUUGGGGCAGGGGUAUUUUGUUCUCCGCAUUCGCGAUCACUGGGUCGGGUUCGCGAAGGUUUAGGACCUGUGGCCUUCGCGUUCGAUAGGAGGUCCGUGAUCGCGUAGAAAGGGUUGGGCCUGGGGUCAGUGGGUCGUUGCUCUUCGCGUUCGCGAAGAGCAUAUCGCGUUUGUGAUGCUUUGGCUGUGCUCUCCAUCGCGAUCGCGAGGACCUGGUCGCGUUCGCAAAGAGGAUUUUCUGAGCCUUGGCAAUUUUGCCUCCACGAUCGUGAGGCCCUUUUUACGAUCGCGAAGAAGGGACCUAUGGGCAGAAACUUUUAAAAGUCGUGAUUAGGAUUAUUUUUCUCAUUCUUACACUUUGCUUUGCCGAUUUUAGAGAUUUUGGAGAGAGAAUUUUCACCUAUCAAUUGAAGGUAAGUGAUUUCUAACUAAUGUGAGUUUAAUACAUAGAUUAUGGGAAGAUUUUAACAUAGAAAUUGUAGAAAUUAUGGGAUUAUGUUGAAAAACUUAGGGUUUGAUAAAAAUGGGAUUAGACCACGAAAAUGAUUAUGGAAUUGUAAGGCCCCGAAAAUUUUGCCAAGGAAUUUAAGGGUUCGUGGUGUCGAAGUAGGCUUACGUGUUUAAGGGUUCUUGAAAUUCUUCGCGACGAGCUAGCUCGCCGCGAUAUGGACUUUUUGGGUUGAAGAAUGCAUCGAGGUGUUGGUGGAAAAUGUUUUGCCAAAGGGCCAAUUAUGCGGUCAGAUUCGCGGCCGCAGAUCCAUUCUACGGGCCGCAUAAGCGUUGCAGAGUUGAGCAAGGAGUUGUUGAAUUUUGAGGGUUGUUUCGCGGUCCAUUGUGCGAUCGCAAACCUGUUUUGCGGUCUGCACUUCUGUCGCAGAGUUGCACGAAGAAAUUUCGUUGGGCGAUUCUGCGGCCGCAUAAGUGGUCUGCGGUCCGCAGACCGGUCGCAGACCUGUCCAGAUCAUCCCAGUUUUGGGGCAUCACUUUCGCGGUCCAUUAUGCGGACUGCAUACAUGUUUUGUGGUCAGUUCUGCAAUCGCAGACUUGAGUUCGGAGGAUCUAUUUUUAUAUUUUCAUAACUCGACCCCAUUUUGAUAAAUAGCCUUUGGGGCUCAUUUUGGGGCAAUUAUCUGAUGAUUUUAGAGAGAGGUAAAAGCAUUUUAGAGGGAGAAUGAGGAAACCUAACACUCUAACCAUCCAAUCUUGCACUAACCUUCAAGAAUCAAGGAAACCAAUCAUUAGAUUAUCAUCUAUCCGGGUAAGACCUUAUCCUAAUACCUUCAUGCAAUUGUUAUGGGUUUAAUUAGGUUAUGGGGGUUAGAAAUAGGCCAUGCAUGUGACAAUAGGUUGUAGUGUGUAAGUUUAAUGAACUAGUUUGGGUGGUUUCUUGUUGAAAUUAGUUAAGGGAGGAAGAGAUUACCAUUGUAGAGCUUUGUAGUCCAUUUUGCAUACUAAGUGUUCGACAAAAUUCCUAAGAGAGUUACACCAUAUGAAUCCUUCUAAUUAUUAUCCAAUUUUCGCUACCUUCUUAUAGAUUGUUAUUGCUAGAAGUGUUGGGACGUUGUAGUAGCUUAAGGAAAGCUCAAACAAGGUAUGUUGGCUAAACCUCUUUUUUAGAAUUGAACCCUACAAUGGCCUUGUAAGUCCUGUGUUGCUCAUUAUAAAUUGAUUAUUCCGAACAAGCCUUGUGUCAAAAGAUAUAUGCGUUCGAAUUGUAUUCCAAACGUUCUUCUUUAUUGAGUUACUAUUUGAAAAGGUGAUUAAACAUGGGCUGUGUGUUAAUAUGUCAUGAUUUGAAGCGUGAUUUUAAUGAAAACUAGCAUGUCGAAUUAUGUAAGAAAUCACAUGUGUCUAAGACCCUUAAUUUGGUUAGUUGCUCAAAUGUGUAUCUAAAGUCUUGAAUUAAAAUGCCUUGUUGUUGAUAAUCUAUAAGGAUACUUGAAAGUGAAAGAAGGGGGUUGGAGAUGGAUAGUGUGGCCACCGUGCCAAUAAUGAGAGUUAUACUUGUGCCCAAACGUGGCUGUUUUAACUAAUGCUAUGCUUUAUAAGUGUUUCCAAUGUGUCUUUAGCUCUUAUAUAUAUUCAUGAGUUGAAAUUGUGUAUUGCCCUUUUUGGGAGAAUUAUUUCAUGAUUAAAUGAUGUGUUACUCGUUUACGCUUCUAACUUGUGCUUUGAUUGCCAACUAUUUUACUUCAUUUCUUGGAAAGGAAUUCAUUGUGUUUAAGUCUUCACUGCUAGUAACUUAAAGUUGUGAUUUUCGGAAUACUCUACAUGUUGAAGCUUAUGUUAAUGAUCCUUGAAGGUAAAUAAAAGAAAGUGUGGAAUAUGAAGUACGGCCGCCGUGCCAUGAAUAAUGAAUCUUGUGAAUGGCCAAAAGAGCCAAGAAAAUAUUGUUGUUGUGAGUGGUUGAAAAUACUAAUGAAUGUUUAUACAAUGUGAAAGAUGAUGAGGUGAAUACAUUUGUAAUUAUACUACCUUUGUGUGCAAAAAAAAAAAUUGGGAGUAUCAUUAGCAAACCGAGGAAGGGUGGGUCAUAAGGCCCACACCCGAAACUACACGUGCCGGUGUAGGGGUGGAUAGUAAUGGGUUGUGAUUAUUUCCCUUAUUUGGGAUGAGAUUGAUAUUAGAUGUGAAUUGGAAAGUCAACCCACACGGCAUAUGUGGGAAGGAGGCCUAGCUGAUCGGGUGGAGAUCGGACGCCAUGUUGCGCACAUGGUGGUACUAUUCUUGGUAACACCAUUUUUUCGCAUCACAUGUCAAACCACAUUGUCUGUGGGGAGAUGGCCUAGUCAAUCGGGUGUGAUCGGACUCCGUGCUAAAAAUACGGUGGUAUAUCAGUGCUAAUGAACUCCCAACCAAAAAUAUAUAUUAUUUCGUAUUUUGAAAACUGGUAUGUGUUAACUGGGCAUUUGGAUAUUGUUGAUUGUGACUUGCUGUUUCUAUGGUUUUCCCUUUCUUAUAAUGGUAUUCUAUUUUGAAAGUGGACAUUUAGAUUUACAUACUAGUACUAUUCCAUAUGUACUAACGUUCAUUUUGCCAGGGCCGCUGCAUCUUCAAUGGAUGCAGGUGAUUCGUCAGCAGGUGGUUUUGACCCUCGUUAGCAGUUACUCUCUAUUCAGCAGAUUUUGGUGAGCCCUACUCUGUUCCGGGCUUCAUGUCAUUUGACGUUGUACGUUACAUUUUGAGGUAUAGCUGGGGCCUUGUCGCCAUCACAUCAUACUACUCUUCUGUUGUACUUAGAGGCUCCGUAGACAGGUUGUAGGUAGUAUAUGAUGUUGGGAAUUAAACUAGUAAGUGUUGGUAUUUGGGCGAACAUGUUUUAUCAUAUCAGUAAACUUGUUAUAUUUUGGAAAUCAUAAAUAGAUAUCCUUUAGUAGUGAAAAAUAUUGUGGAACACUUGACUCUUCUCAUGUCUAUCACAUGUACUGGCUCUUAUAUUAUUAAUGGGCAAGGUUGGGUAGAAGGCAUCUAACAGGCUUGCUUAACCGCGGUAUCUCGGUUAAGCGUCGGUCGCGCUCCCCGAGGUCAGGGCGUGACAGGAAUUGAGUAGAAAUUAUAUAUUUGAAUUCAUAGGGUCUUGGGUAACAUUUAUCUACAAAACUUUCCGGAAUCCAGACAUGUGGGCUCGGGGGUGACUUUUAGGAACUUUCUGGUUUGAGUUGGGUAAUUGCUCUAAUAGAUGAAUUAUGAACUUUUUAGCAUGUAUUGAUUAGUUUGUAAAACUUUUGACUAGUAUCGGGUUGCUCAGUGUUAUUUUGAGGCUAUUAGUGUGGUUUGAGGACUGAGAAGAGGACUUGGAAGUGAGGUAUCUCUUGCCUUAACUUGUAAGAGGGAAUUGACCAUGUAGGUGUUUAAUGUGUUAUUUGUUAAUAAUUGUUGGUGCUACGUACGCACAAAGUGACGAGAGUCCGUACGUAGCUAAAAAAUAUGUUUAUGUCCGGGCAGACUUAGGACUUUAUCAUGCAAUACUUGUAUUAUUUGAACCUAACUUGCUAGUUUAAUUACUUGAAUUCAUAAUUGAAAUUCGACUAGGGAAUAUGUUAGACCGAGCUUCGUUACUUUGAAUUUUGGCGGAAUAUUCGAUUUUUGAUAGAAGAUGAUGCUCCUUUAUAUGCCUAUCAUGGUAUUGUAAAUGUAUGUUCUGUAGUCCAAAGAGUUUCCUAUUCCUGUGGAUCGGGCCAAAUGCCUCGGCUAUAUAUAUAUAAUGAGAUGCAUCCAUGCAUCGGGACGUAUGACCUCGGUAGUGUAUGUACCCAAUUAUUAUGGAUCGGGCAGUACGACCUCGGCAUAAAUCGUGCGUAAUAUCUCUAGGAGUCCGAUUAUACUUAUAUUUCCUUCAUGACUUGAGAAUUGACAAUUACUUGAUGGCUCUUAUUUGUUGAAAUCGCCAGGUGGUCAUUGAAGAUUUUAAGUUGAUAUUUUGUUAAAGAAUCACUUAUUCAUUGUUUCUUAUUUCAUUGUUACUGUUGUAUUUCAUAUCUAUUUACCAUUCUUUCAUUUUAUUUAUUGACCUCUAGUAAGUGUCGAUGUCGAUCUCUCGUCACUACUUCUUCGAGGUUAGACUAGAUACUUACUAGGUACACGUUGUUUACAUAUUCAUGUUACAUUUCUACACAAAUUGUGCAGGAAGUGAGGCAGGUACAUCUGGUGUCCGUUUAGGCAUUCCCCCACAUUACCUGGAGACCUAGUGGUGAGUUGCUUCCCUAUGCUCCGUUCAGCAGCACCCACAGUCUCCUUCCUGUUGCUUUUUAUAUUUCUUUCUAUUUCAUUUAAGACAGUAGUUGUAGUGAUUUGUAUAUUCUUCUAGAUUGCCCAUGCACUUAUAACACCAGGUUUUGGAAAUUUCUAGUAGAUAUUUAUGGGUUUUGCCUAUUAGUAUCAUCAUCUCACUCUUAUGUUUUAUUUCAUGCUUUAUAUCACUGUGGCCUUUUAUACUUGGUCUCUUCAUUAAAUAAAAUUCAUGACUUUAAAAGUAAUAAAAUGAAUAAUUAAAUGGAUAGUUCAUCGUUGAUUUGCCUAAUGGCGAGGUCUCCAUCAUAGCCUAUAGCGGGAAUUGGGUCGUGACAGGUUGAUAUCAGAGUACUAGGUUAACAUAGGUCUCACGAGUCAUGAGAAGGCAUAGUAG
rnacentral:lncRNA from 1 species